rnacentral:rRNA from 1 species
UAGGGAAUUUUCCGCAAUGGGCGAAAGCCUGACGGAGCAAUACCGCGUGAGGGAUGACGGCCUGUGGGUUGUAAACCUCUUUUCUCAAGGAAGAAGUUCUGACGGUACUUGAGGAAUAAGCAUCGGCUAACUCUGUGCCAGCAGCCGCGGUAAUACAGAGGAUGCAAGCGUUAUCUGGAAUCACUGGGCAUAAAGCGUCUGUAGGUGGUUUGGUAAGUMUGUUGUUAAAGACUGGGGCUCAACCCCAGAAAAGCAGUGGAAACUGCUAGACUUGAGUGUGGUAGAGGUAGAGGGAAUUCCUAGUGUAGCGGUGAAAUGCGUAGAUAUUAGGAAGAACACCAAUGGCGAAGGCACUCUACUGGGCCAUAACUGACACUGAGAGACGACAGCUAGGGGAGCAAAUGGGAUUAGAUACCCCAGUAGUCCUAGCCGUAAACGAUGGAUACUAGAUGUUGCACGUAUUAACCCGUGCAGUAUCGUAGCUAAGGCGUUAAGUAUCCCGCCUGGGAAGUACGCUCGCAAGA